ACCUCAAAUCAGGUAAAGAAUACCCGCUGAACUUAAGCAUAUCAAUAAGCGGAGGAAAAGAAAAUAACAAUGAUUCCCUCAGUAACGGCGAGCGAAGAGGGAUAAGCUCAAAUUUUAAAUCUGUUGGGUUCCACUUAACAGAGUUGUAUUUUGAAGAAACGUUUUCUGCAUCCAGGAUUAGCCUAAAUCCUUUGGGAUAAGGUAUCAUGGAGGGUGAGAAUCCCGUUCAUGGUUAAUCUUAAGGAAGCUCUACGAUACGUUUUCCAAGAGUCGAGUUGUUUGGGAUUGCAGCUCAAAAUGGGAGGUAAAUUUCUCCUAAGGCUAAAUAUUGGCGAGAGACCGAUAGCGAACAAGUACCGUGAGGGAAAGAUGAAAAGAACUUUGAAAAGAGAGUUAAACAGUACGUGAAAUUGUUGAAAGGGAAACGAUUGAAGUCAGUCAUACCAACGGGAAAUCAACCUUUUGAGCUCGGUCUCGUGGGUUUUGAAGAGUUUCAAAGCCUUCGGAUUCGCGGGAUUGGGAUCUCUUGGUGUACUUUUUCGUACGGUUAGUCAACAUCGGUUUUGGAUGUCAUAAAAUGACUGGAGGAAUGUAGCUUCGAUCUCGUAUUGAAGUGUUAUAGCCUUUGGUAGAUGUGAUGUUUGAGACCGAGGAUUGCAACGGAUACCCUUCAGGGCUAUUCGUCUGAUCUCUGAUACGUUGCCUUGAUGUUGAAAGCUUGCUUAUGAUGUUAGGGUAUUACGGUCAAAAGGUUAGAACGGAUUAGAUUCGUUAAGGAUGUUGACGUAAUGACUUUAAACGACCCGUCUUGAAACACGGACCAAGGAGUCUAACAUAUAUGCGAGUGUUC
rnacentral:rRNA from 1 species